AGUGAACGCUGGCGGUAGGCCUAACACAUGCAAGUCGAACGGCAGCACAGUAAGAGCUUGCUCUUACGGGUGGCGAGUGGCGGACGGGUGAGGAAUACAUCGGAAUCUACUUUUUCGUGGGGGAUAACGUAGGGAAACUUACGCUAAUACCGCAUACGACCUACGGGUGAAAGCAGGGGAUCUUCGGACCUUGCGCGAAUGAAUGAGCCGAUGUCGGAUUAGCUAGUUGGCGGGGUAAAGGCCCACCAAGGCGACGAUCCGUAGCUGGUCUGAGAGGAUGGUCAGCCACACUGGAACGGGGACACGGUCCAGACUCCUACGGGAGGCAGCAGUGGGGAAUAUUGGACAAUGGGCGCAAGCCUGAUCCAGCCAUACCGCGUGGGUGAAGAAGGCCUUCGGGUUGUAAAGCCCUUUUGUUGGGAAAGAAAAGCAGCAGGUUAAUACCCCGCUGUUCUGACGGUACCCAAAGAAUAAGCACCGGCUAACUUCGUG
rnacentral:rRNA from 1 species